GGUGGUUCUCCAGUGACACACCCCGGAAUUAGGCCUCCUCCUCUUUGGUUCCAGAUGUGUCACCCGAGAACCACA
rfam:Myotis brandtii contig233972, whole genome shotgun sequence.